CUGCAAGCCUGGCUUACGUACAAACACUGUACUGGAUGCUUAAACAAGAAAAUUAAAUAAACCCCUAAUUCAUCACUUUCCUUCAUCCUCCCUUUCACCUGUCACCCUACCUCCACCCCAAGUUUCACAGCCUAAACAGAAGAGAUCAAAAGACUGAAAUAUUAGUGAUAUUUUGGAAGGAAGAAUAGAUGGAAUCCAGAUGGAUGGAAACCUUUAUCUGAUUCUUGCACACAUGGCCACAGUUUAACAGAUCUUAGGCUUUCAUUCACCAAAAUGCAUAAGAAUCACUUGGACAACUAUUUCUGAGCUGCAAGCUGGCAAUGUCUGAGGCCCCCUCAAAGGAUAAUGUGAGUUCCCCUGAACAAUCUGGGCAACAGAUGUCAACCAGGGAGAAGAUGCUGGCAGUAGGGUUCCCGGGAGUUGAACAUCUGCCUGACCUCCUACUGGGCUCUUCUAAUGCUGCAGCCUAAGGUGGCAGCUGUGGCUGUAGUAGAUGAAAUUCAGAACAUCUGGGGCAUUCUAUGGAGGAGAAAGAAACAAGCUUCUGGAAGCAGCAACAUAGAAGAACAUUAAUUCUCUCCCCACCCAGUCUC
rnacentral:lncRNA from 1 species